GUGCUUGCUUCGGCAGCACAUAUACUAAAAUUGGAAUGAUACAGAGAAGAUUAGCAUGGCCCCUGCACAAGAAUGACAUGCAAAUUCAUGAAGAGUUCCAUAUUUUU
rnacentral:snRNA from 1 species